GGGCUACCACAACAAUCCACAAGAUUAGGUGCAAUUCCAGGUAAUUGCAAGACUAAACACCAUGUCUAAUCUACUAAUUACUACUCUAGCGUUUCAAAGACUAGAGCACUUGAUGCAAGCGGGAAUCCAAUAAAUAAUUUAAAUAUAAAUAAAAGUAAUUAAAGAACUCAGGAAUUAUGAAUUGAAGAACUUGGAGAACGAUGAAGAACGAACCAGUUGCGGCAAAAGUACAAUGUUGAGCAAGAUCCGACAGAUCUGGCUUCUCCUCCGCUCUCAGAUUACAACUAGAACUAACUAGAACUAGAUGAACUAGAACUAGAACUAGAUGAACUAGAGGGAUCCUCUCUACUUGGAUGAAUAAUUGAAACCCUAGCUUUGAUUCUGUAGAAGAUGUAUGUUCUCCAUGGGGCAGAGGGCCUGCUUAUAUAGCCCAUCCAGAUGAACGUGGGCCGUCGGAUCAAACCGACCUUAAUUGCACGGUUUUCCUUGAUCCUCAAAGGCGGUGGAGCACGAUUCGCGAGACCAACCCUGAUUGGUCACCAGGGCAGGGCGGGCACCCAAGGGCGGUGGAGCACGAUCCCGCUCGGCCUCCCGCUCGUUCCCGUAGCUUCUGGACUCUUCUAGAUGUUGGAUAAUUGCGGUGCACGUUAAUAUCUCUAUGUAAACCCGACGUGUGGACCUUUCCUCCAUAUUUCCUGAUAACCCCCUGCAGAAAUAGACAAACACCAAAACUCGUAGAAUUCUGUCAGAUGAAACCCUAAUUUUGGAUGUUGGUUGCAUAUAGGUCCUUUUCCAUGAUUAGUUGACGGUUAAAUGUGAGCAUUAAGGACCGUCAACAAGCUCCCCCAAGCUUAACCUUUGCUUGUCCCUGAGCAAGGAUGGACUCAAGAGUUUCUGCAGUGGUUUCAUGCCUUAAAGGUAUACAUGCGUUCAAACAAGAUCUUAUCUCUGGGUUAGGGUAAACUGUUAAGAUUUAAACUUACUCAUUUUUCCUUCCACCAUGGGGCUUGCAACCGUCACUUGUGUCUUGAGCAGUUAAAAGAUAGAACGGUCUAGUCAAGCGCCAUGUUUCUUGUUCUUCAAUUAACUAUAGCUCUGGAGUUUUUGUAGAUUUUCAAAUAAAACUCAGAGAUUCCUUGUAUGACUCUCUCUAGUAUCUCUUUUGUGGUAUUUCUAGAUCCUUACCAAGGCAGUAACGGUGUAUGCCUUCUCUCUAAGUAUGUGGUAUUUUUGGUAUGAGGCAUAGUGGCAUUGCCUUCUCUCUCACCCUACUCUAAUAAGGUUUUGAUAUCUGGAGCUCAUAGGUGGGAGACAGCUAAUACAUACUUACAGGACAUUUAUUGCAUAGUUAAACCAUGGAUCUAGAAGAACAAGUUAAUAAGUCAAAUCAAGAUGUGCAUGUGUGGCGAAUGAAUGGUGAUAAUGGUGAAAAUAAUGGUGAAAGUCUAAUUAUACUUUUGCUUUUUUGAGGGGGUACAUACCUUCCUUGCACUUGAGGCUUUUGAGGGGAAUGAGAUGCUCUAUAUUUUAUUUUUCUUUUCUCUCAGGUGGGUAUCUUGUAUCUCUAAUUCUACUGUCGGACACUUGUCCAUUUUUACCUUUCCUUUCACUUUUUCUUUUUUUUCUAGGUUUUGGGCACUUGCCCCUUUUUAUUUCCUCAUAUUCACUUUUUUUUCAGAGCACUCACCCUCCUGGAAUAAUGUAGCAAGUGGUAGUAACCAAAAUAUCUCGAGCAUUUAUUUCACGGGGAACAACAGGGAUAGGAUAAUGUUUUUGGCUAUUCUAUCCUAGAUAGGAGUAGAAUAAUUUUGGAUGAAUCUGGAUAUGGAAAUGAGUGGAUGUAUGUGGAUGCGUACUUCCGGAGUAGAAGCAGCAUGUAUGAGUGAACGUGCAAGUGAAUCUUGAUUUUAACCGCAUGACAAGCUCCUAAGGGUCUACACAGCUUGACCACACUCAAUGCUCAUAAGCAGUAAAAAGUAAAUGUAUGGUUCAUAGUCUAAUAAGCAUGUAUAUAUGGUUGUGGUAGGAUUUUAAACUCUCAUCAUACAGGAACUCAUCAUGCAACAUUUUAAAGAUUUUUAAAGAUAAAACUCUCCAGAAUUCUAGCAUCUCUAGGGACAGAUAAACAGUAGCUCAACCUUCCCAUAUCAUAUCUGUUAACGACUUAGACUUUAGAUCAAGUACUCUUCCCACAAGUUCAGGUUUAGAGCAAAUCUUAAUUAAUAACAGUCAUGCCUAAACUUGAGAGAGAUUUCAAUUUUGAGAACUAGUCAUGGCAGAGCAACUAUUCAUCAUUUCCAUGUGAGAGCUUAUCAUGAGGGUUCAUAGCAAACUUUAUUUAUUUAUUUAGCAAACUAAGCAAAGAUUAUAUAUAAGCACAAAAUCUUUAUUUGGGUUUUUAUGAUUAUGCAUCUUUUUAUUAUUUGAGUAAAGUAUAAACGUGAGUAGAACACUUAGCUGGAUAAAUGGGGGUGCUCUCCCCUAAGCUGGAUUUUGACGUAAUUUCUUCUGAUGUAGCUAGCAGGUGGCGGAGGUGUAUUUGAAUGUCGGCAGCACCCUGACCGCGAUUAGGAUGUCCUCCGUCUGCUAGUCUUCUUUGAUCCUUGAAUUCUGUGGAGCUCAAAUAGACAACAAAGCUUUGUGGAACUAGUUAAGUGUUAGCAUAAGUAUCUAGCCUUUAUCAUGUUGAGCCUCACUCUCUUUAGUAAGAUCACAAUCUUAUUUUUAUAUUUUCAUUUUUAUAGGACAAGAAUAUAUUUAUUUUAUUUUUACACCACCAUAGUGAAUGUACUUAUGGGUUUUAUGGCACGAGCAUACUCACAUGGGGCUUACUUUUUUUAACAGUUUUAUUUUCUUUUUAAGAUAGCAUGAUUAACUAACAAGCCAUUUAAUGAAAGUAAAUAAUUUAAGGAAAAAGGGAAUGCUGAAAGGAUAAAUAUGGAUAACUACCAAUUUUACCUUUCGGUGAGGGUUCAAUGUUUUAAGUCUUCUGAACAAGACUUCUCACCGUGUUCAUUCUUUAGGUGCGUCAUUUGAUUCAGGUGCGGACCUUGACGUCUGCACCUCUUGAUACGGUGUCACCCAUGUUCUUCGUUUGCCCAGCAGUUCAAAGUGCGGCGUUGGUAGCAUCCUGCUUAGUGUGUUUGUGCUCGUAGAUCUAGGUCCUUCACUUGGUGGAGUCUGGGAGUUGUAAAACUCCUCCAUGUUUUGCUCGAAGUAUACCUGCUCAUAGAGACAAGGCAGAGAUCAAGUGCAUGGGCCCUGUUGGUGGAAAACACCAGCAGAACCAAAAGUGUAUUUUUUCUUCUCUAACCUUAAGCAUAGUGAGUAAGACAAAGUUAAUGGAUAAUAAGAUCAUGAGUGUAGCAUUUAAAACAUUUGUCAGAUCAGAUCGCUCAACCUAAUGGGAUCACAAAGGUGGAAGGACUAAACAUAUUGAAUCGAUCGGGUUGGUUAAUCUAGAGUUGUAAAUCAUACAUGUUUGUCUCUUUUAUUCAUGUGAAUGCCAGAACCAAGGAGAAGCUUAUAAAAUUGAUAGUCAAGUACCUUAAGAUGUUACCUUACUCGAAGAGUGAUGGUACAGUAUCACCUUGUGGAAGCUUUCCUUUCUUAGCGGUUGUGCAACGUGUUUGUGGCACCCUCCAUGGAUUAUCUCUUAUAAGCUAUGUCUUCCUUGUGUAAAUUGUUAAACUUCAUGUGUCUCUCUCUCUUUGUCUCUAAUGUGGGUUUAUCUCAGGACUUCCCAGGUCGAUAUUGAAAGUUUUCCUACAGGGGUUAGUCCAACAAAAUAUCCAAUGUCUACUAUAGCAUACUAUCGGCUCAAAAAUCAACCUAGACACCAUGUCUAAUUUGAUUUAGGAGGGCAUUUUAACCUAAGCACCAUGCUUAAUUUAAAAUCCCUUGGAACUAAGAUCAUCAUUCCUAAACUAAGCACCAUGCUUAAUUAAGAGAUAAAUGAAACUACUCCAAACCUAGACAUAUACUAAAGCAAAUAAAGGUAGCAUGAGAGCAUUUAUAGAGAUCUACUCAAGUGGAGAUGAAGUAGUGUGAUUAGUGUUGGGUAUUCUUAACAUCAUCACCUAAAGUAGACUAAGUUCUCUAAAUCUAGUAACGGUGCCAAAAAUGCCAAACCUAUCCCUCACACCACUUAAGCCAAGUUGUCAUCCCUAGCAUGACAUGAGAGACGCGGUAUUGAAAUAUACAAUUGCUCUUCUAAAUAAAUAAUGAAUGGGAUCUGCAAGCGCACAGAUUAAUACCGAUGUAGCAUUUUAACCGGGAAGUAUUCCAGGUAUCGUUAUUUAUAUUUUUACCACUGGGAAGGGAUUAGCAAUCAUCAAUAUUGAUUACAGAAUAGAAUAUGAGAUUGAGUAUCUACCAUUGCAUGUAUAAUUGAGAACAUUUAUCUAACUCUUUCAUACAGGGAUAAGUGUCACAUAAAAGAUAUAUGAAAUAAUGAAUAGUGACAAGGAUAAUUAAUCUGAUUAUAACUAGCCACAUAUAAAUAUGAUAAGCACCUCAAUUAGAUACUCUAGAAAGUCAUUAGCAUGGAAUUAGAACGAACUACAAGAAUAUUUCCUAAGUUAUUCUCAACUAUAUAGUCUAGCAUUAUCAUAGUUAGUGCAAGCAUACUUAGCAAUCAUUGCGAGACAAGAUUACGCCCAUGCAUAGUGAUAUUAGCAAGGUAAAUGAGAAACAUAGCAAUCACUCCCCUGUAAUAAUAUUGCUCUGCCAGCCCAAUACACGAGAGGGGGACUAUAUAAGAAUCAAUGAAGCUGUCACUAUCACGAACUACCCCACGAUCUGGCAUAUUGGGUACAAUCGCAGAUAAAUAUGGUAUAAGCACCACGCCUACACAAUAUCUAUCAUUUACCCAUGGAUCCAAUGGAUAAACGCUAUACGAUCCUAAGCAUGUAUAUAGAUCCAAUCUAACUAAGCCAAGUACAUAACUAUGAUAAACUAAGAACAAUAUAAUCUUGAAUAUAAGCAAGUAGAGCAAAGUCAUAAGUAAUAUAUUGAAGUAGAACAAAGUCAUAUUCAUAAUAUUGAAGAACAAAGACAAUUAGAAGAACAAUUAGAAGCACAAUUAGAGAAUUACCAAGAAUCCUCUUGACAGAUCCGAAAACCAAUCGAAGAUUGACUCCUUCUAGUUCUAAUCCUAUGUAGCUAUGCUAAUCUAGAUGUCUAAUUGAUGUGGUGGCUCUAAUCUUGAUGAGAGGCUUCUUCUCCCUUGAGAAUAAUGAAUUAGGGUUGAGAGGCUCUCUCCUCUAGGGGCCAGGGGGUCUGGUUUUAUAGUCCCUUCAAGUGAAUAUGGGCCGUUGGAUCAAACCGACUUAGAUUGAACGGUUAUCCUUGAUCCUUUAGGUCGGUGGAGAUCUCCCGAGAAACAGAGUCCUGAUUGGACUCUCAGAGGGGGCGGGCGCCCAGGGGAACAGGGCGGGCGCCCUACCUCUGGCCCCGUUUCGUCUCCACUUUGGUCUCGUGGCUUCUGGAGUCUUCUAGAUGUAAGAUAAUUGCGCGGCGCGUUAAUAUCUCUAUAUAAUCCCGACGUAUGGGCCUUUAUUCCAUAUUUCCUGAUAACUCCCUACAGAAAUAGACAAACACCAAAACUCGUGGAAUUCUGUCAGAUAAAACCCUAAGUCUAGAUGUUGAUUUCAUUUGGAUCCUUUUCUUUGUUUAUUUGAUAAUUAAAUUUGAUACUUAAGGACCGUCAACAAACUGUCCCAAGCUUACCUCUUGCUCGUCCCUGAGCAAGGAUAGACUCAGCGAUGAAUCAUAAGUUGUUGCAAUAUCUUUAAAAUUGACGGUACACAUGCUUUUAAAUAAGAUCUCAUCUCUAAGUUAGAGUAAACUGUCAAGACUUAAAACUUACUUACUUUACCUUUCACCAUGGGACUUGUAACUGUCACUUCUGUCUUGAGUGGUUAAAAGAUAGAACAGUCUAGUCAAGUGCCACGUCUCUUAUUCUUGAUCAGCUAUAGCUCUGGAGUUUUUGUAGAUUUUCAAAUAAAACUCAGAGAUUCCUUGUAUGAUUCUCUCAUAUCUCUCUUUUGUGGUAUUUCUGGAUCCUUACCAAGGCAGUGAUGGUAUAUGCCUUCUCUCAAGAUAUGUAGUAUUUGUGGUUUGAAGCAUAGUGACAUUGCCUUCUCUCUCACCCUAUUCUAAUAAGGCUUUAAUAUCUGGAGCUCAUAGGUGGGAGAUAAAGUCUACAUACUUACAAGACAUUUAUUGUAUAGUCAAACCAUGGAUCCAAAGAAACAAGCCAAUAAGUCAAAUCAAGAUGUGCAUGUGUGGCGAAUGAAUGGUGUAUGGUGAUGAUGGUGAUGGUGGAAGUCUAAUUCUACUUUUGCUCUUUGAGGGGAUACAUACCUUCCUUGCUUUUUGAAACUUUAUGAGGAGAAUGAGAUGCUCUUCUUUUUCUUUUCUCUCAGGUGGGUAUCUUGUACCCCUAAUUCUACUGUCGGACACUUGUCCAUUUUUACCUCUCGUCUCACUCUUUCUUUUCUUUCGAGGUUCCGGGCACUUGCCCCUUUUUAUUUCCUCGUAUCUCUUUUUUUCUCCCUUUUUUUUAGAGCACUCAUCUCUUGAGAUAAUGUAGCAAGUGGUAGUAACAAGAUAACUUGAGCAUUUAUUUCACAGGGAAAAACAGAAAUAUUUUUGGUUAUUCUCUCCCGGAUUAGGAGUAGAAUAUUUUUGGGUGAUUCUGGAGAUGGAAAUGGAUGGAUAUAUGUGGAUGGUACUUUCGGAGUAGAAGUAGCAUAUAUGAGUGAACGUGCAAGUGAAUCUUGAUUUAACCACAUGACAAGCUCCUAAGGGUCUACACAGCUUGACCACACUCAAUGCUCAUAAGCAGUAAAUUGUAAAUGUGUGGCUCAAAGUCUAGCAAGCAUGUAUAUAUGGCUGUGGU
rnacentral:lncRNA from 1 species